UUCUUGCAUGAAGCAAGUCAUGCUAUUGCUUGCAAACUCACAUGUGGUCAUGUGGAGGGAAUCCAAGUCCAUGCAAAUGAGGGUGGCGUCACACAAACGCGUGGUGGUGUAUACUUGUUGAUAUUACCUGCAGGAUAAAGUCGCAGAAAGAGGAGGAUAUGGAGGAGAGAGGUAUGAGCAGCUGGAGUUUCAGAAGAAAGCUAGGCAAUGUUACAAGGCUCUCCAUGAUGCUUCUUGGAAGGUAAUUUUGUGUUUCGUUUG